UACGUAGGGACCAAGCGUUGUUCGGAUUUACUGGGCGUAAAGGGCGCGUAGGCGGCAAUUCAAGUCAGUUGUGAAAUCUCCGAGCUUAACUCGGAACGGUCAACUGAUACUGUUUUGCUAGAGUACAGAAGGGGCAAGCGGAAUUCCUGGUGUAGCGGUGAAAUGCGUAGAUAUCAGGAGGAACACCUGUGGUGUAGACGGCUUUCUGGACCAUAGCUGACGCUGAGACACGAAAGCGUGGGUAGCAAACAGG
rnacentral:rRNA from 1 species